rnacentral:rRNA from 1 species
UCAGGACGAACGCUGGCGGCGUGCUUAACACAUGCAAGUCAGGGAGAAAGGAGUAGCAAUACUCUGAGUAAACCGGCGAACGGGUGAGUAACACGUAGGCAACUUACCUUGUGAACGGGGAUAACCCCGCGAAAGCGGGGCUAAUACCCGAUGAAAUUCUGAAACAGCAUUGUUUUAGAAUCAAAGAUCCCAAAAGGAUGUCACAAGAUGGGCCUGCGUCCCAUUAGAUAGUUGGCGGGGUAAUGGCCCACCAAGUCGACGAUGGGUAGCUGGUCUGAGAGGACGAUCAGCCACACUGGAACUGAGACACGGUCCAGACUUCUACGGAAGGCAGCAGCGAGGAAUAUUGCUCAAUGGGCGAAAGCCUGAAGCAGCCGACGCCGCGUGAGGGAUGAAAUCCGUUAGGAUGUAAACCUCUUUUGUAGGGGAUGAAUGUCCCGUUUUACGGGAUUGACCGUACCCUGCGAAUAAGCACCGGCCAACUACGUGCCAGCCGCCGC